AUUGUUGCACUGGGGAUGAUGGAAUAUAAUUCAGACUGGAAGGCAAUUCAGCAACGCUUUCUUCCUUGCAAAACUAAACAUCAGAUAUUUGUUAGGCAGAAAAAUCGUUGCUCAUCUAAAGCACCAGAAAAUCCCAUUAAGGAUGUUCGAAGGUUUAAAACCUCCCAUUGACUGCAAAAGAGAUAGGAUGUAUUCCGGAGG